rnacentral:rRNA from 1 species
UACAGAGGGUGCGAGCGUUAAUCGGAAUUACUGGGCGUAAAGCGCGCGUAGGCGGCUUUGCAAGUCGAGUGUGAAAUCCCCGGGCUCAACCUGGGAAUUGCGUUGGAGACUGCAAGGCUGGAGUCUGGCAGAGGGGGGUAGAAUUCCACGUGUAGCAGUGAAAUGCGUAGAGAUGUGGAGGAACACCGAUGGCGAAGGCAGCCCCCUGGGUCAAGACUGACGCUCAUGCACGAAAGCGUGGGGAGCAAACAGG